rnacentral:misc_RNA from 1 species
AAUUGAACUGCCUAACUCUCUAAAGUUUAAGAAACAAUCCAUUGCAAUCAUACAGCAUCUAUUUAUAUUACGAUACCAGAAAGGAGUAGUGAUCUUCAUCUGAUAAAGUACUUGCUUCAAGUUCUUACCUCCGAACAGGAAACCUGCGGUAACUUCCAUACUCGGGACUCCUGUACCGAUCAUAAGAUGAACCAUUGUAUUUGUCAUAUGCGGGGAUACCAGGGCGACCAUAAUCAGGACUAGGUCGACCCCUGCGAUACAUUGGGCUUGGUGACCUUCGGUAAGGACUAUCACCAUGCCUGAUAUAGUCUCUUCUAGGGCUAUCAUACCUGUCACCCCUCUCACCAUCAUCCCUCAAA